GUGCUCGCCUUGGCAGUACAUAUAUUAAAAUUGGAAUGAUACAGAGAUUAGCAUGGCCCAUGCGCAAGGAUGACACACAAAUUUGGGAAUCAUUUCAUAUUUAA
ensembl:snRNA U6 U6 spliceosomal RNA